CCCUCUUUGUAACAGGAAAGCCUUCGGAGGUACACUCAUUGAAGGAAAUGGGAAAAGCAGGUAGAGGGUCGAAGAGAUGUAGUUGCUUCUGGAUCAGGGAUUUGAGGCCUAAACAUUCUUCUGGCUAAUGGCGGCAUUUUGCUUUUUGUUACUUUCCGACCACCCUGGAUGAGAACAAGUACAAAGAGAGAACCGCAGUAGCGUACGUACGGUAAGUUCAUCGCAAGACCUGUGUGGCUUCAUACACCCCCAAAAUCUCCACCACACCACAUUAAAGGCCGAAAAAAGUCGUUGAUCCUGAAACUAACAUCAAGAAUGCAUUGCGGCCAAUCAUGCAUCUCAAGGUUGGCUGCUGGGCAGCUUGACGAGAAUAGAGUGCUCCGGCUUGUGGUCGCACUCGAAAUCGAGAUGCACG
rnacentral:lncRNA from 1 species